rnacentral:rRNA from 1 species
CUAUGAUCUGAAGUCAAGUGGGACUACCCGCUGAACCUAA